UAACAUUGAUUAAUUGUUAUUUUUCUUUUAGUUGGACACAGACUACUUGCAGUGCAAUGACUUCAUCAUUGGUGACAUACGAGUCGACAACGAGAGACACUUGAUGUUUGCUUCACCCAACCAGCUUCAGAUCCUUCAACAAGCCAAGCGGUGGUUCUAAGACGGUACUUUCAAGAUCCUUGCAGAUCCCUUUGCUCAGCUUUGGUCCAUCCCUGCCUUUAUCCACAAAGGUGACAGCUACAAACAGAUUCCACUAGUUUUCUGCCUUAUAUCCAGACGUAAAGGGAGAGAUUAUGUUGCUGUUUUUCAGAGGCUGAAAGAGGUCCUUCUAAGACCAGCAGAAGUUCAGUGUUUUGUUGCCGAUUUUGAGCAAGGUGCAUGGAAAGCCAUACGUAAGGAAUUUCCUACUUCCACCAUCAAAGGUUGUGCCUUCCAUUUUGGCCAGGCAGUUUGGCGUUAGACGCAA